GACGAACGCUGGCGGCGUGCCUAAUACAUGCAAGUAGAACGCUGAAGGAGGAGCUUGCUCUUCUGGAUGAGUUGCGAACGGGUGAGUAACGCGUAGGUAACCUGCCUGGUAGCGGGGGGUAACUAUUGGAAACGAUAGCUAAUACCGCAUAAGAGUAGAUGUUGCAUGACAUUUACUUAAAAGGUGCAAUUGCAUCACUACCAGAUGGACCUGCGUUGUAUUAGCUAGUUGGUGGGGUAACGGCUUACCAAGGCGACGAUACAUAGCCGACCUGGGAGGGUGAUCGGCCACACUGGGACUGAGACACGGCCCAGACUCCUACGGGAGGCAGCAGUAGGGAAUCUUCGGCAAUGGACGGAAGUCUGACCGAGCAACGCCGCGUGAGGGAAGAAGGUUCUCGGAUCGUAAAGCUCUGUUGUAAGAGAAGAACGAGUGUGAGAGUGGAAAGUUCACACUGUGACGGUAUCUUACCAGAAAGGGACGGCUAACUACGUG
rnacentral:rRNA from 1 species